CCUACGGGGGGCUGCAGUGGGGAAUAUUGCACAAUGGGCGAAAGCCUGAUGCAGCGACGCCGCGUGAGUGAAGAAGUAUUUCGGUACGUAAAGCUCUAUCAGCAAGGAAGAAAAUGACGGUACUUGACUAAGAAGCCCCGGCUAACUACGUGCCAGCAGCCGCGGUAAUACGUAGGGGGCAAGCGUUAUCCGGAUUUACUGGGUGUAAAGGGAGCGUAGACGGUUCUGCAAGUCUGGUGUGAAAGCCCGGGGCUCAACCCCGGGACUGCAUUGGA
rnacentral:rRNA from 1 species